GAUAACCCUCCAUCCUUCUGACAUUUAUACCCUUGAAGGUGCAGUAAUGUUCAGUGCCUGUUUUAACCACUGAAAUAACCAUAGUUUUUCUUUAUUUUCCUAGGAACCAAUAAUCUGUAAGCAUUCAAAAAAAAAAUCAGAGGACAAAACUGGACUAAAUGGUAGGAAAAUAGGCAGGGACAGAGCCCUGGCUUGGUGGGCUUGUGGCUUUUCUCCAGUUGCGUCCACUUACUAUGCUGCUAACCACCUCCAGGGCUGUCCAGGUAAAGGAGGCAAAUAAAUGCAGAAUAAUGAGCGCCUGUGCAUUGCUCCUGGAAACAGGCUAUCUUGAAAACAAAUACAGACCUGAACGAAUUCUGCUCCUUCAUAAUUCCAGGAGGAAAGAGUAGGAGCCUUGUCAGGCCCGCCACCAGGAGGAGACACGGAGACAGUAAUGAUGCCCAGAGGAUAGGGCAUUGGCAUUCUACAAAUAAAAUAGAAUAGGUAAAUGCAAGUCUCUCCCACUCCCAAAUGACCUUUGUGCCAAAGAAAAUGUAUUUUGCUUAAAGGAACCCAUGAAAUACUGUUACCGUCAUCAUUUUCGUCAUUCUUGUCAGCAUCACUUGUGACACUACUAGCGAGCUGUACAGCACAGAGGUGAAGACUGUGGCCUUACUUUCCCGCAGUGGAGUUUGAAUCUUGGCUCUUACUGUGUGAUGC
rnacentral:lncRNA from 1 species